rnacentral:rRNA from 1 species
AUUGAACGCUGGCGGCAGGCCUAACACAUGCAAGUCGAACGGUAACAGGAAGCAGCUUGCUGCUUUGCUGACGAGUGGCGGACGGGUGAGUAAUGUCUGGGAAACUGCCUGAUGGAGGGGGAUAACUACUGGAAACGGUAGCUAAUACCGCAUAACGUCGCAAGACCAAAGAGGGGGACCUUAGGGCCCCUUGCCAUCGGAUGUGCCCAGAUGGGAUUAGCUAGUAGGUGGGGUAACGGCUCACCUAGGCGACGAUCCCUAGCUGGUCUGAGAGGAUGACCAGCCACACUGGAACUGAGACACGGUCCAGACUCCUACGGGAGGCAGCAGUGGGGAAUAUUGCACAAUGGGCGCAAGCCUGAUGCAGCCAUGCCGCGUGUAUGAAGAAGGCCUUCGGGUUGUAAAGUACUUUCAGCGGGGAGGAAGGGAGUAAAGUUAAUACCUUUGCUCAUUGACGUUACCCGCAGAAGAAGCACCGGCUAACUCCGUG